rnacentral:ncRNA from 2 species
GCAAUAGAAGGCGCUGUCGGUUCCUCAGGCCGGACGGCCGCGAGGAUCAAAAGGGAAUGCGGUGAGGCGUACCCAUCAGGGACCGAAACCGUGGCUGCCCCCGCAACUGUGAGCGGCGAGUGCACCGAACAGCCACUGGCGAUGCUUCGCCGGGAAGGCCGGAGCGCACAGCGACCCGCGAGCCAGGAGACCUGCCGGCACAAGCGAGCUCGA